rnacentral:miRNA from 1 species
CACCUGAAAGCUUGUCUCAACC